rnacentral:rRNA from 1 species
UGCUCAGAUUGAACGCUGGCGGCAGGCCUAACACAUGCAAGUCGAGCGGAAACGAGUUAUCUGAACCUUCGGGGAACGAUAACGGCGUCGAGCGGCGGACGGGUGAGUAAUGCCUAGGAAAUUGCCUUGAUGUGGGGGAUAACCAUUGGAAACGAUGGCUAAUACCGCAUAAUGCCUACGGGCCAAAGAGGGGGACCUUCGGGCCUCUCGCGUCAAGAUAUGCCUAGGUGGGAUUAGCUAGUUGGUGAGGUAAUGGCUCACCAAGGCGACGAUCCCUAGCUGGUCUGAGAGGAUGAUCAGCCACACUGGAACUGAGACACGGUCCAGACUCCUACGGGAGGCAGCAGUGGGGAAUAUUGCACAAUGGGCGAAAGCCUGAUGCAGCCAUGCCGCGUGUAUGAAGAAGGCCUUCGGGUUGUAAAGUACUUUCAGUUGUGAGGAAGGGGGUGUCGUUAAUAGCGGCAUCUCUUGACGUUAGCAACAGAAGAAGCACCGGCUAACUCCGUGCCAGCAGCCGCGGUAAUACGGAGGGUGCGAGCGUUAAUCGGAAUUACUGGGCGUAAAGCGCAUGCAGGUGGUUCAUUAAGUCAGAUGUGAAAGCCCGGGGCUCAACCUCGGAACUGCAUUUGAAACUGGUGAACUAGAGUACUGUAGAGGGGGGUAGAAUUUCAGGUGUAGCGGUGAAAUGCGUAGAGAUCUGAAGGAAUACCAGUGGCGAAGGCGGCCCCCUGGACAGAUACUGACACUCAGA